rnacentral:rRNA from 1 species
AGACAGCAGCCGCCGCGGGAAUACGUAGGUGGCAAGCGUUGUCCGGAAUUAUUGGGCGUAAAGGGCUCGCAGGCGGCUUCUUAAGUCUGAUGUGAAAGCCCCCGGCUCAACCGGGGAGGGUCAUUGGAAACUGGGAAACUUGAGUGCAGAAGAGGAGAGUGGAAUUCCACGUGUAGCGGUGAAAUGCGUAGAGAUGUGGAGGAACACCAGUGGCGAAGGCGACUCUCUGGUCUGUAACUGACGCUGAGGAGCGAAAGCGUGGGGAGCGAACAGGAUUAGAUACCCCCGUAGUCCCUGUCUCUUAUAC